GAAUUUUCUCCGUGUGUGUGUGUGUGUGUGUGUGUGUGUGUUUCCCAGUAAGCCACAGCUGGUGGUACUGUGUGUGUGUGUGUGUGUGUGUGUGUUUCCCAGUAGGCCACAGCUGGUGGUACUGUUUUUUUCUCCUACUCAAAGCAUGACAAGAUGUUCCUCUGAUCCUCACAAUGAGAACCUAGUGAAGGUACUGGGGGAAAAUAAUUUUUAAAAUGUAGGAUUCACCCCAACCCCAGACCAAGAGUGAGUCCUGGAAGUUUGUAGCUCUCCGAGUAGCCCUCACUUUCGUUCCAGCAUUUAGGCUACUACAGCUGCAGGCUUCUCCUCCAUCUCUACCACCCAUAAACUGUGACACCCUGUACUUUCCUCUCUUCAGUUUUCUUGGCAGCUGUUUGGUUUGCAAUAUCAAUUCUUGUUUGGAGUUAAGAGUUAUUUUAGGAUUUUGUCAAAGCCUAAAUAAUUAACAGAGAGAGUCUCUCUAAAAGAAAUUGUCUAUUUGGGAGUGGAUAUUGUGAGAGGAAUACGCAUGUCAUAGUAAAUAAUGAGCAUAUUCAGGGAGGUAAAGGCAGACAGAAGUUUUUACAGAGAAAGUGAGAAUGAUUGUAUAAUUAUUUUCAGAUAUUUAUCCUUGACUGCAAGGAUCAACAACAAGGAUCGCACCAGCCUGAGGCUGCGCAGGCAGCUGCCAAGCAGGUCCUUGAGGAAGCGCCACACUCUCUUCCACAGUGGUUGAACUAGUUUACCCUCCCACCAGCUACAUUUCCGGUAAGUAUUGUCAGGCUGCUGUGCAUUAAAAGCCCAGAAGGUAUUCAUUUUGUGUUAUUGAUGCCUUGUACCUCUGAUCAACAUCUCUCCAUUUCUUACCCUUUAAUUUCACAAAUGCUGUUUUACUCUCAGCUUUUAUGUGUUUGACUAUUUUACAUUCCAUAUAAGUUAGAUCAUGCAGUGUUUGUCUCUCCGUGUCUGGUUUAUUUUAGUCAGCUCGUGCUCCAAAAAAAAGCACAUGCCAAGAGUUCCUUCUUUUUUAACACUGAGAAAUGCCCCAUUAUUUAUCUGCAUAUAUACAACAAGUUUUCUUUAUUAGUCUGCUGAUGGUCAUUCAGGUUGUUUCCACAUCUCGGCUAAUGCAAAUAAUGCAGCAAUGAACAUGGGAGUGCAGACAUCUCUUCAACAUACUUAUUUCAUUUUCUUUG
rnacentral:lncRNA from 1 species